UCCUUGUUAGCUCAGUUGGUAGAGCGUUCGGCUUUUAAGCAAAUUUACGCUUAAGCAAGGAUAACCGAAAUGUCAGGGGUUCGAGCCCCCUAUGAGGAG
rfam:Kazachstania africana CBS 2517 chromosome 11, complete genome